UAGAAGUGGCUAGACACACAACUGCUUGAUAAAAGAACGCUACUUACUGCAUUAGAAACCCCAGACAUUGCAAACGCCCAGCAAUGACUACUCUCCUAUACCAGGAUUUUGCUUUUCAGGGCAGGUGAUUGCUAACUGGGUGUCAUUUUCAAAACAAGUAGAACAUUUGUUUUUUUUUUAAAGGGAUUACUUCUUUCUGGGCUUCAUCUUGCAGAACUGUCUGGUGGAGGAACGGUGUGAGCUUGGCAGACACUCUGUGAUGCUGCAGAUAUGCAGGACAGAGCAAUUGUGCACAUCAACCUCACCUACAACAUUCAGGAAGUGAGAGAAACAGCUGUGGCAACUGACCGAAAUAUUUCCAUGUUUGCAAUAGACAGCAACAACACACAUCCGGAAACAUCUUCCUGCAUAUUUAUAUUGGCAGAGCGCACUCAUGGCCACAUCGUUCACUCAUUUCUGUUGUUUCAGUCCCACAUAAAACACCUUCUAGUAAAGCCUUUGUUUCCUGGUGGCUUAUGCAAAUUGGUUUUGCUUCAUUUUCAUGUUUGUUUAUUCCAUGCAAUGGAGAAGAGCAUACUUUUAGGGAACCCUGUCAAGAGCUAAAUUCAUUUCAGAUGCUUCAUAGACAGACUUGUUUGGCAGCAAAAUGUUGCUUUCCUGGAGCUGGAAAUACUCACCUGCAGAGUAAUAGAUGGGACUGAGACACUCGGUAGUUAAGAUCAAACUAAGACAGAGUAGAGAGCUGAAUCCAAAUGGACACAGAUUCUUCAGUGCAGAUGUCCAGCUUCCCAAUGUUCAACAUGCUUGGUUCUCUAUGCGGCAUUCCCACUUUCUCAGUUCAAUGGGAUGCAAUCAAAUAAAACUCCAGUUGUGAGGAACAGCUCCAUUGCUAGAAUAAUGGAAAACAGAGUAAGUGCAGACAAAGAAAAAUGUGCUGGUUUACUCAAAGAUGAACAUAUUUGCCUUGAGCAUAUACAAACCAAUGUGCAAAACAGCUGAGAUGAUACCAGAUCAGACAGGACAGAUAAAUCUUAAUGGCCUAACUAUGCAGUGCUUUCUACACAUACACAGCUACAAACAUGCGAAGAUCCCUAGCAGGAAGCUGUACAGCUCUGAAUACAAACCUCUAAGCAUAUUCAUGAUUUCAGUAUUAACAGCUGGACUCAAUUCACAGAAGACGCUCAGACUAGCUCUGUACUGAAAAAAAAUCCAGAGGCCAAACUGCCGCUGUCAGUAAUUCAUGGCCACCGACUUUGCCUUAGAAUCUAGCACUUGCUGCAGAACUUGUGCUCCAGACUCCACAUGUCCAUUUAGCACCAAUGUGUUCAGCCUUGACAACUGCAAGUACCUCCAACUUCUGUAAGCUAACUUCUACAAUGGAAUUCAGCUAAAGCAAGCCCAUAUCCAGCAGCACAUGGG